rnacentral:lncRNA from 1 species
UCGCACAACCCUAGUGGCCCUCCAAGCCCUCCUUUGAGUGAAAUCACGCCUCCAAACAACCAAAUACCCAUAAACCUUUGCGCUUUAGGUUUAAAUAAAAUAAAUUUGCAACAAACCCUAACCGCCAGCAAACAACGCCUUAAGUGGGGGCAACCGGGCGAGCUACUCUUCUUCUUGUUGGCGCUCAGCGCCCCUUGGAGGGCAAGCAGGCGUGGUGCGGUAUGUGCUUCUGGUGCUCAACACCCUUCAGGUGGGCAAGCAGGUGCUGAUGCGUGACCAGUAGCGUUGAGGGCCCUAGAAAAGGGCAACUAGGCGCCCUACGCCUUCUUCAACCUUCUUUUCUGGUGCUUUUGAUGUCCCUCAUGGGUUUCAACUCCUUGAUAUUUUUACUCUUCUUCCAAAACAUACCCAUAACCUACAAAAUUUAGGGAAUUUAGUAAUAAAAACAUUAAGUAUAACCUCUAUUCACUUAUUCACAAAAUUAAGCUAAAAACAAGAGUUCGAGCAAGCUUCAAAGUCAAAAAGAGUUGAUUUAGUAUCAAAAUUGCAUCACAGAUAAUGGUAAAUUUAAUCGUUAUCCCUAUGCGAGUGGGUUGAGAGUCUGGACCACUGUCUAGACUUUCGCCUAGCGAGUUGAGUCGCUGGGCAAGAUGGUUGAGGAUCUGGACCACUGUCUGGACAUUUGCCUAGUGAAUAGGGUCGUUGAGCGAGUGAGUUUGGGGUUUGUACCAUAGUCUCUACUCUCGCCUAGUGAGAGGGGUCGCUGAGCGAGAGUUUGGAGUUUGGAAGCAUUGGGAGUUUUAUUUGCAUAACGAGAUGUAUCAUUGAGCAAAAGGUUAGGAUUUGGAACUAAUGUGAUUUUUAUUUGCACAGCUGGGUCUUUGAGUGAGAGAUUUGUAAUCUGGGAACACUAUCUGUGUAUUCGCGCAAUGAGUUGGGUCGUUGAGCAAGAGAACUUUGUGGUCACCCAGCGAGGGUAUUCGUUGAGCGACUAGUCUAGGUUUUGGUUUACUCUUUUCUUCUUUAUUCUUGAUUGAUUACAGUGAUACUUUAAUUCAUUUGGGAAUGAUGUAUGAUUAUGUAUGAGUUUUUAUAAGUAUCAAAGUUAUGAGUUGAGAGUCAAAGUGAAUGUAUGUGGUUUCAAAGUAUGGUUUUCAAAGUAAUGAAGGUAAGUUCGAAAGUGAAUCCUAUUUGUGAGGUUCAAGUAUGUUUAGAAUGAAUGCAGGAGCUCAGCUUGGGGGUUACCCUAAAACUCCAAUGGUGUUUCAUUCUCAAGUAGAGAGGAUUGAUCCAUGUCGUGAGGAGUAGCAAAAGGUCUUAGUCUUGGUGGCUUCCAGUAUGCUCCAAGGCGUGGAAUAGAUUAACCUUAUGAGUGUGGUAGGGUGAAACCCAUUGAAAAUGGCUUUGCAAAGCAGUAGAUGCCACCACAAGUGCACAACCCGUCAUAGCUUGACAAUCAUUCUAAGUCCGGACAAUCAAUUCAUUUUAUUGUCAUGCAUGUAGUGUCUUGGUGUUGGAAAAUGAUUAUGUCUGAUUAUGUGUAAUGUAGUUGAUGUGUGUGUGUGUGUGUGUGUAUAUAUAUUACUGUUCUUUAUUUAAACUAGCUUACCCUGUUGUUUGUGAUUGUGUGUUGUAUGUGGUUGUGUUAUUUUCCUUUGUGAUGAUCAUCAUGUGGGUGUGAUCAAAGAGAGAUGAGGUUUCCCUAGUGUUAAGUUCCUGGCAAGUGUACCAGAUCGUUAUCAAGUAAUAUAAACGGGUAAGUCCGAGUAUCGUUUUCCCAAAGGACUCUUAGGCCUUAACUUUCAUGUAACCUAAUCGUGUAAGACUUGAGAAAAGAAUAUAUUUAGGGGUUGUAUGCAAAGAACAAAAAUAAACAUGCAAUGCAGUUGAUUUAAUUGGUUUUGAGAAACUAUGGAUGAAUGAUGUUGUUGNGGUUUACAAUUUCAUCUUAUCCACUCUCAUAUAUCUACUCUUCUUAUUUAAUUCACUUAUCUAUCUACUUGCCAUGCAUACUUUCUUAAUUACCCUUAACCCAAUCCCUUGGUGAAAAGAGCCUAUUACUAAUUAUCGGUUUGCUAUCCCUAGCCUCCCCUAGUAACCAAUAAUGCAAUGCGAUCCGAAACAAUUACAAUUGACCGUCCUACCCCUAUCCCUAGGUGAUAUUGGCAUAAUCAAGGAAUUUUCCACCAGUUCAUGACAUUACCGUACGUCCCCAUAUCGAUAAAGACAAACAUCUUUUACUAAAUGAGAUAAACAAUAAAAGCAUGGAGCGCAGAUGAGAACCCAACAAUUGAUAAAUAAGUAUAUGACAAGCAUAUGAAAUAAAUAAGAAUUUCAAUAUAUGAGAGUUUCAAAAGAUUACAUUGUUCCCCAACAACAAAGGGUUUAGUUCACCAUUGACAUGGUGAAACUGGAUGAAAAUAAUGAAAGAAUGAAAGAGAUAACCCUAAACUUGGUUGAAUGGAGCCUAAGCAUCCAAGGAACCUCCUCCAAGGUGUGUGGAAUAGCUCUGGACGUUCUCUCUGCCAAAAGAAUCCCUAUCUAAUUCGCACUGGGGCUAUAUAUAAGCCCAAAAAGAUAACAGAAAGAUCUACAGAAUCUAACUUAAAAAACAGACGACCGCCCAGGCGCCUAAUUUGACCGCUUAGCGGUCAGUUUUGCCGCUGAGCGGUUUCCCUCUAAUCGCUCUGAGCGCUCAGCGGACCAUUCUGGCGCUCAACGGCUUGUUUGACCCUUCUUUUCAUCAUUUUUCUCCUUCUUUCAUGGGUCUAAGUCCACCUUACUUCACUUCCAUCUUUAUUUCAUCUAAAAUCUCUGCAAAACAAUGCAAAACAAGCAUAAUAUCUCUAAAACCAACUUUUGACUCUCAAGAGACUUAACUAAGUGUUUUACUUGACUUAAAGCUCAUUCUAAGCCUCAAAGGGUGUGUUUUACUAUCAAAUUUAAGUAUGAAAAUAACGGUUUUUAGACCGUUAUCACCUAGAGUAGGCUUUGGAGGGAGGCGAUGCGGCAGUAUAGAUUAUUUAAAGUAGUAUUUUACAUAGUUUUGUUUUAGAUCGGUUGUAUAUAAAGUUUAAAUUUUGUAAUUGUUUUGAAUAAUUGUAAAGUUUAGACUUUAUAUUCUAGUUUAUAACUAUUCUAUUUUAUUAAUUAUGUGACAACUAUUAUAUUUUGGGAUGUUACAAUAAUUAUUAAAUUAUGAUUUAUAUUUUUGUAAUAUUUUUAUUAAAAAAUUAAAAUAAUAAUAACUAAAAUAAGAGUAAUAAUAAUGAAAAUAAAAGAAAAAAGAAAAACAAAAACAAUAUUUAAAAUCAUAUUUAAUGUAUUAGAUAUAUUAAAUUAUAUUAAAAUAUUAAAUUAAACUAAAUAAUUCUUAAAAUUUAAAUGGAAAACAAAAUUUUAAAAAGAUUUGUUAAUUGGAUACAUAAAUCCGUUAACUAUGGUAAUGGGUAACGGAUAUGGAUAUCUGAUAAAUAUUUUUAUUUAUUUUUUUAUUAAAAUUUUAAUAAUUAUUAAAUUUAAUUUAACGACAAUUCUAUAAGAAAAUAUAUUUGAACAUCAAAUUCUUACUUAAACCCUAGUAUGAAUGCGACAAUCCCUUACCAUUUAGAUAAAAUACUAGAAUCCUCGAAAAAUCCAAAAUUUUACCCAUUAAAGGAAAAUUGAAUUACUUGAUUGAAUUAUAUGUUCAACCUAGAACAAGCUUUGCUAACAUGACGGUGUGUGUCAUUAGAAAUUUUGUUUCUCUUACGUUUUUUGUUUUUUAGUAGGGUUCAGGACGGGCAUAGGAAUAAGAUUAAUAUAUUGCACAGGACAUUUUUACCUGAAAAUAUCUAGUUUAAGUCAAAAUUAUUUAGUUUAAACGAAAAUAUCAGCAGAACUUGUGUGUUAGUUUUUCACAAAUAUUGCUCAGAUGAAAAAGUUUAGCCUAAGCAAAAAUACUGUAGUUAACAUCUUAUAUUUAACGGAAAUGACUUGAUUGACACAAAUGUUUCCUGUAGUAUGUGGACGAAAUUGACAUUUUUUUAAAAGAGGGGACGAAUUUGACACACUCUAACCAAACUCAGGACAAAAGAAGCAAUUAAACCUAAAUUUUAUAAUUUAAAUUUAAGCAAAUUUUACUCCUAAGUGUUUAAUUAAUUUUGAAAAUAGGAAACUUAAAUAGUUUUUUCAAGAAAAAAAAAUAAUAAAUAUUUUUUUUAUAAAAUUAAAAUUAAAUUUUAAUAAAAUAAGAUUAGGUAAGUGGAUUGAUGAGUCAAUCCGGUCCUCCACAGAUUCAACCCAGAUAAGUCGGAUUAAAAUCUGACCAGCAUAAAAAAAUACUUCUUUUUAUAAAUUCAACUCGAUCCAAACCCGUAGUUAGACAGAUUAUAAUCGAUUUUGACAAUUCUAAUAAUUCUUCCAUUUUUAGAAAAAAAAACGACUGAAGAAGAGAAGUAGCGUCCCUUCCUUGUUCUCAUUCCCUUGUUAAUGAUUGCAACUAACACUCAAUUGUAAUUUAACGCUUCCAAAUGCAUGGUGGCCCCUAUUAUUUAUUUAUUCCUUUUUAUUUUCUAUAUUGCUGAGUUGUUUUCUGCUAGGCUUUCAACAAAAUAUUGAUAUAUGUUAAAAUUGUUUUUGUAAUCAUUGAAUCAGAAUAAUAGUUUUAAAUAAUCAUCUUAAGAUUUAAGUGUAUAUUUAAGAAUCGGUUCUGUACAUAGUGGGUCGUAGCAAAUCAAUUUUAAUAAUAAAUAGGCUUAAAUCCUUUUUUCACACAGAUUUUUUUGUCUGAUUUGUUGUCUUAUAAAAGUUAAAUGGCCUCUAGUUUUAAAAUUAAACAACUUUAGUUCAAUGCUAAUUUAUCCUGUAUGAACUAAAAAAUGUAAAAAGGUGUUUUCAGAGGUAACAAACGUUAAAAGAGAUUAUCUAAAAUUACUGUAUAAUAUUCUACGUGAAUAAAAUUAAAAUAUUCCUAUUAUUGAUGGAUACGUUAAUGUUUUCUAUUACAAAUGGGAUUAUACAUUAGUAUACACUAACUGUAUAAUUACAUUUGUAUAAAGACUAAACUUACAUGUUUGUAAAAUGAUAAAAUCAAAAUGGAUUUAAGCACAAUAAAAAAAAGUAAGAUAUGAAAUAAUAUAUUAAUAAUUAAAUAAUAUAUAAUGAUUAGAGAUAUUUCGGUAUUGAAAUUAAAAAAAAGACUGGAUUAAUUAAAUGUUUAAUUUGCAAUUAGUAAAAGUAAUUGAAAUAUACAAAUGUUACUUACUUCAGAAUCCCAAUGGGAAAUUCUUCAUAUCAAGAUGCUCUUAUGUAUUUUACUUUAAUUAUUCACAUUACCAAUAUAUUAAAAAAACAUGGUCUUUUAAACUAGUUAAAACACUGUUUCAACAUUCAUUUAAUCAGUACAACUAACCGAUAUCAAUAAAAUUAUUAUAAUAAUUAAAUAAUAUAAAAAUAAAAUAUCAUAUUUCUAUAAUUAAAAUUUAACACAAAUUUAUAUAGGUUUCAUAUAUAUGUAAUUUUUUAAAUAGAACAAAUGUAAAAUUUUUAAUACAUUUUCGAAGAAUUUGUAGACUUAAAUGUUUCUAGUUUUUAAUAAUAACACAACAACAAGUUAUAUGUAACGUCCAAAUUUUCAACAUUAUUAACAUUAUUACAUCAUAAAGCACACAUUAAUAAAACUAAAACAGUCAUAAUAUAUAUAUAUAUAUAUAUAUAUAUAUAUAUAUAUAUAUAUAUAUAUAUAUAUAUAUAACAUCAGCAACCUAAAACGUUUAAGGUUGGUCAUCUAUUCUAUCAUCGUCUCCUAACAUCUGACCUAGAGAGCACCUUGUCUGUUCAUAUCGUAAAGAUGAUCAUUGUAACACAAGAUAUGAACAAAUACCAACACAAAGAAAAGGAUAAGCUUUUAUCAAAGAACACACAUAAGCAUCAUUUAUAUUUGUCAUUCAAUAGUUCAACUAUCAAUAUUCACCCACGUUCAACAUUUAACUUUAUAUUGACCAUCAAGAUACAUGUGUUGAUAUCAAACUAUAGAGGCCCCGCCUUUGAGGUGGAACAACAACAUCUUCAUCAAUAAAUCACCACUCUCCAAGGUUAAUCCUUUCAAGCAUUUAUGGCUAACAAAUAAUCAAUAGACUAGGAACAUCCUACUACUCUCCACCCUAUAAUCAUCAUUCUCUUCUUGAGACUAGAGGUUAUUGAGAGCUUUAGAAUUACCUCUAAUUACUGGCUUUCUAUAUCAAUAAAUACACUUACACAUUUAGCCAUUACAAAGGAAUUCUCCUUGAACUCCUUAUAACAUCAUUCACAUUCCAUCACACCUUUCAAUCACAUCACAGAGUAUAUAGUGCAACAUUCUAUCAUUCAUAACUAUGCACAAAAGGAUAAUCAAUGAAAUAAUCAACGAAACCUAGACUCACUCGCCCAGCGAGCAUUCUUUACUCACUCAACGAGAGCAAACCAAUGAGUUGGCUCGCCUAGCCCUGCAACUACAAACCAAACUCCCUAGAAACUUGUCCAUUGAACCAAUUUCACUCCCCCAACUAAUGUGAAAAUAGAGAACUCAUAUAGACCAGCGAGGUAGUUCACCCAGCCCCUGAAACUCAAGGCAGAACCUUUAUUUACUUGCCCAACGAGCUCUCCUUGCUCGCUCAGCCACUCUACAUAAUUAUACAACAUCAAUACCUACAUAAUAUGCACCUAUCAAUGCUUUAAUACCCAUCUUAGGCAUAACUACGAACUUCCAACACUACAAUUAGACAUUCUAAGACACAAUUGACCUAUCCAAUUGCAUAGGACUCAACUUAAACCAAAUUUAAAACUAUAAGACCAUGGGAUUCAACUCAAAUUAACUAAAAUCCUACUCUAAAGACCAAAUUUCAAUUUUUAACCAUUUAAUUCACAUAACUAGCCAGUUUAGGAGUCUGAACAAGUCCAAAAUGAUUAAAUAAUGUUGAGAUUGUUGACAACACAAACUCUAUAUCAAACUAGUUUUUGAUGAUGACAACACAAUGUUUAAUAACAGUACACAUGUUGCUGCAUUACAUGUUUGUAUACUGAUAAACUGUCAUAUCUGCUGGACAUGUUUUUGAUGUACUGUAAUGUAUGUUCCUAUGAUUGAUUGUGUGAUAUAUUUGUGGAACAUGCUUGUAUGGAAAUGUGAAAUAAAAUGUCUUUGAUUACAGUACAUUCGUGAAAGUAAAAGAUCACAAGCACCUUUAUGAACUUAUAUUUGUUGUGACAAAGUUCUAGUCCAGUCGAAUACACCUAUAAUGGAUUCGGCUAUGCUAAAAUCUUUGUACAGAUUUUGUGAACCAGUGCUGUGUGAGAUUUUGAGUUGAAAAGAAUUUCAAAAUGUUUUUUCAUGUGUCAUUCGACAUUGUAUAUUGCAUAUUCGACCGUGUUACUGAUCUGUUUGGAAUUCUAUUAUGCUUACACGCUCCAACGACUAUAUUUUGCAAAAGUUAGUUAAGCAUUGAUGACUUGGUCAACUGUAAUAAAUGUGUGUUAAUUUCUGUUGACUGAGAACUUAUGUGUUGAUUGUCUGUUAUAACUGUUUUAAUACAAUCGACUGGAUUAGUAGGCUAUUCGACUGAGAAGCAAUCUGUUAUAAUAGAAAACUAUAAAUAGACAAAACACGAGUUGUUCUGUGACUUUUGUGAAUCUGACAUUUUCAUUUUCCUGUUUCAGAUUGAAUUAUCUGUUUUAACAAAUCCAAGAAUUCUCCAAGAAGACGGUGGUGAUCUUUCUUGAGAGAGAUUCAAAUGGAGAAGUCAAUUGCGCUGACUGCUUGAUUAUUAUCUACACGAGGAAGGUGUUUCUCGAUUGAUCUUUGAAGGCUUGGCAUCCUGUGAAGACUGCUGUGUUGAUUGAAGGCUUGGCAACCUGUGAAGUUUGUUGUUAUAGGCUUGGCAUCCUGUGAAAAGUGCUGGUUACAUGUUGAGGAUUGUUCGACGUGGGUUUAGAUUGCAGAAGAGGGGAUUCUUGCUGCAAUUCUAGUUUUGUUAUGCAACUAUAUUUUGGUUUUGGGUUAGAGAGGAAAUUUAUAUUUUUUCGUGGUGCUUCUAUAAAUUCCUUGUUGUAAAAAUCACAACCAUUAUAAUGCAUUUGCUUCCUGGGUUGGAAGGACACUGGAUGUAGGCAUUGUUGGCCGAACUAAUAUAAAAACUAGUGUUUGGUUUUCUCUAUUCCUGCACUCUUUAUUUCUAGUCGACUUCGUUUGUUUUGCAGUCAAUUGCGUUUUUCCGCUGUAUUGAAUUUUCAAUUACUUGCAUUUCAAGAAAGAUCAAAAAGCUUUGCACUUUUAUAUAAAGAUUGCAAAAAGAUUUUGUUUUUGAACAAACACCAAUUCACCGCCCUCUUGGUGUAAAACAAAGCCUACCUUUUUCUCAACAAAUAACAAACCCCAAAUUCAUUCCUUUACCUUUUACCUUCCAAUUCCAAAGCUCACCCUUCAAAAACCUCAAAAACGCACUAUAAAUCAUGAACAACCCAACCUUCAUAUCUAUCAAGCAUACCUAUACCCAUACUCAAUUUUAUCCCAACAAGUCACAAUUGACCCUACUAAAGAUCCCACACUCCUAUUUCCCCCUUUUUACCACUCCUUCUACAAAUCACCUAUCAACACCACCUCUUUUUGACCAAAAUAAUCCCUUUACAAUUUCAUUUCUUUCAACAUUUCAACCACAAGUUAACAUCAUCAUUUCACAAAACACCAUCAACAAGGUAUUCCUAAACAAACACAUACUCAUGCAAUACAUCAAGCACUCAUGCAACUAAUUCCAAUUAAUCAAGAACACAAUUAUCACCAAGACAUACAUCUCUAAUAUAACCAAUUCAUCUUUUCAUUCCAAAAAUUCAUUAAUCAUGCUUGAAAUUUAAUACUCAAAUCAUAAAACUAACUUCCCUACCCUUAUAAGGUGUUACCCUAACUAUACGUAGCUCGUUGCUCUUGCUUUGAGUUCAAGAAACUCUAGAGAAACCUACAAAUCAUAAGAAUAUGAUCAGAGCAAGUCCUUAGGACCUCUGAUUGAAAAAGAGAUAGGUAGAAAACUAAUCUAACACAUGCGAAUAAAAUCCCUACGCAUUUUGACCGAAUAAUUAAAGGAAAAAGGAAUAGAAACUUACUUGUUCUAUAAGGAAAAGUGAUCAGAUAGAAAGAAAGGAUUAUUCACUGUGAUCACUUAAAUACUUCCUAAUCGUCAAACAGAUAAUCUAGACAUUAGAAAUCGUAAAGAGAAUGCAAAGAGCUAAGAUAAAUGUUUCUUGUUUUUUAUAUUCAUGAGUUUCUAUUUAUAUUAUUAAAUUAUUUAACUUUAAAAUAUUUUGUCUCAUUAUUUUAAAGCAUCUAUCAAUUGUAAUACUCAAUUUUUUUAAAUAUUAGGUUACCAGAAAACUAUGAAAAUCAUUUUACUAUAAUUUUAUGAAUGAUAGUUUAAAAACUGAAGAAUAUCUUUCAUUUAUAAACACUAUUUGGUCAUAUAUCGGUCAAUUAUUUAAAAAGCUAAAAAUUAUUAAUUUUCACUGUAACUAAUGUAAAAUUUAUAUUCGGGGUGGAUUAUGUAACUAAAAGUAUAAAAUUCUUCUACAAAUAAUCCAUUUAAUGGUGACGGCUGAAUAUUCCAUGGUAUCUGGCAAUAGUAAAAUCAAAUCAUUUGAAUAUUGUGUCAAAGAAGCACAUUAAUUACCUACCCCACCACCGUAUAUUUUAUUUUUAUUUUCAUUUUUCAACCAAUAAAUAGCAAAAGGUAUUGAUCCCCGUAUUGUAUUGCAUCACGUAUUUGGAUGCUUAGUGAUAAAUUUUGGAUUAUAUUUCCGUAUUGGGUUCUUGAAGGUACCUAUACUCAGAUAAUUAAUUAAAAACUUCAAAGAUAACAAACUUUAUUAGAUUCUUUAAUGCUAAUUAACAGACUCGAAGAUGAUUGCUUUGUAUGAGAACAAAAAAAGUAAUUUUCAUGAGUAACAUCACUCUUUUUUUUUUCUCUUUAUGAUAUUAUCAACAUGGUUUAGUCUCAUGUGGUGAAUGUGAACAAGACUUUUUCUUCUUGACUUGAAUCAGAAAAAGUAGAGUUUUAUUCCCACUCUCACACGGAUACAGAUAUGAAUGACACACUCCCAAGGCGUGGCACGCUACUUUUGGAUUUCAUUAGUCCAUUAAAAUAUUAUUAUGAGUAAUCAUAUUUGUGUUAACAAACAAGUUUCUUAACUAUAAUGAGUUUGAGAACGACGUUUGAUCCAUUUUGUUACUUUCUAGGGUUUAUCGUUUACUAUUUUAUAUACUCUAAACUAGGGUUUUAAGCUACGUAGUAGAGAUAGUAACCACCAAUUAGGCGCAGCUUCGUUAGGUAGUAGUUUAUGUUUGAUCUUUGAAUUUUGGUCCCAUGUUUUCAAAUUAGCUUAAAUAUUCAUCCAUUCUCAUCGUAAUUAAUUUUUUUUUAAGAAUCUAAUCCAAUAUUAAUCUAAUAGAGAUAAAACAGUUUAAUUUAGUGCUAAUAAAGUUUAGGAUAAUGAUACUUAGACAAUAUUUUUUUGACAACAUUUAAACAUCAUCUACGUGUCAUUCUGUGAUUGGUCCAGGGUGGUAUUUAUGAUUAUUAUUAUUGAUUGUGGAGUAAUUUUGGACCAAUCACAAAAUAACACGUAGAUAAUGUUCAAAUGUUAUAAAAAAAAAUGUUGUCUAAGUAUUAUUAUCCGUAAGUUUAUUUCAAUUAUAAGAUCUUGUGUGGUAUAGUACUUGUUAAGAUGGGGUAUUUACACUGUAAUAGUUUAGAUCCUUAUAUAGGAUGUGUUACUUAUAAUAGCAUCCAUUGGGUUAAAUGGUAUUUACUUUUACCAGUAAUUUUAGAUUUAUAAGCGGAGAAGUUAUUUCUUUAAAAUUAGAAACUAAAACUCAUUAUAAAUAAUAGAUAUUAUUCAAUGUAGGAUUACUUUUGAUUUUUGUUUUUUUGUUUUCAUAAUACACUAGUAAAAAAUUGGGUUUUUACAGCGCACAUUAUGUCACGGUUCACCAGAAACCGCAGCAUAAUGGUGCACGGUGGCAGUUCUGUAAAUAAAACGAAAGAAUAUGCCGCGGUUCAGAGGGGAACCACGACAUAUCCUCCAGUCAGCCAUCCCCUUUGACCCACGUUUGAAUAAAAAAUGAAAUAACAGGGGUAUAUGCCGCGGCGGUUCUUUGGGCAACCGCGACAUAUACCCAAGUCAACUUAUUACAGGGGCUGACUUAAUCAGAGAAUGUCAGAAGUUACAGGGGUAUAUGCCGCGGUUCCCCAGCGAACCGCGACAUAUAACCCUGUCAUUCCCAAGAAGGCAGCUGGGGAGACAGAAGUAUUCAGAACGUUACAGGGGUAUAUGCCGCGGUUAUAUGGGGAACCGCGGCAUAUACCCCAUGUAACUUCUGAAGUAACCCAUCAGUCACCCAUCAGUCAGGGAAUUUCAGAAGUUGCAGGGGUAUAUGCCGCGGUUCUCUGUGGAACCGCGGCAUAUACCCCUGUAACGUUCUGAAUACAAUAACUCUCUCCAACUGCCUUCUUGGAAAUGACAGGGGUAUAUGCCGCGGUUCGCUGGGGAACCGCGACAUAUACUACCACCUGAAAUAAAUUUAAAAUGAAUUUGAAAUAUUUCGAGGAAUAUACCGCGGUUCAGCGGGCAACCGCGGUAUAUAGUGCCAUAAUAAUUUUCAAAAAUGCCAUUUAGGUUAUUUUUUUAAUGACUAUAGGCCGCGGUUUGCUGUGAAACCGCGGCAUAUAACCAUAAUAUACCGCGGUUAAGUACUUAACCGCGGUAGAUUCCCCUGUCACAGUUAAAAAAUAAAAUUUCUGAACAGUAUCGUCUUCUUCGCGGAGACGCUCCUUCUUCGAGUUUCUUCUCCCGCCGCGAUCACCCCUCUCAGUUCCUUCAUUUCUUCACCGUUUAAACUCAAAAUUGUUCGGUCAUUUCACAUUUUUGACGAUAAGAAACAGUUUGAGCCGAUCAAAAUCGUUUGAAACGCUUGUCAUUGCUCUCCGCUGCCAUUCUCCUAUUUUGCACCAAGCUUUUUCGCCACC